CAGUAUGGUCAUCCAUCAAGUCAGGACUUAUACCCAGUAUCUGUGCCAUAUUCCUGGGGAGCUUCACUUGUAACCUAGGCAAACGUCCUGCCCACUUUCUGAGACCAGAAACAAGUGAAUGCUCAGCAGUUCUUGAAGUAGAAGAUGGGAGGUUUGCUAGAGUGAGGGUUUAAGGAAGACCUGAGCAAACCGAUGUCUUCUGGAAAUUACAUGAUCAUGUACCCAUGAAUUCAUAGCAGCUGUGGUUACCUGCACAGAAUCAAGCCAAUCAACAAGCCAGCAUGAAAUGGGGUCUUGUGAGACCCUACUUCUAGCUCAGAAGCUAUGGGCAGUUGACAGCUUCUGAAGGAGGGAAAAAUACUUCAAAACCAGAGAAUAAAGACAAACGAUGGGAAGUGAAAGGCAUCUUUGACUGACAAUGGUUUUGCAAACAGUUGUAGUGGAUCUUCUUGCAAGAAAGCAAAUCUGUCCUUGGGAAUAAGGAGACCUAUGAUUCCUACUGAAUUAGAAGACUAAGCAGCUGUGGGAUGUUGCAAACAUCGUUCUGCUCCAUGACCACCUGGAGUUACUUGCUCAGUGUUUGAUUAAAAGACCCUGUGACUUCUUACAGAGAACCGAAGUCCCUGCCAUGCCUCAUGUGAGAUAACAGACACUACUGUUCCUUCUUACCACACUGAAAAUGCACAUGCUCCCUAUUAGAGUUCUCCUUAUUGGAAGGUGUGUAUGUCUGUGUCGACAUUACAAGCCAAGAAGGAGGAGGAGGAAAGAAGAGGUUGAGACCAGAACUCAUUAUACCUUCAGCUUCCCAAAUUACAAAA